rnacentral:lncRNA from 1 species
CAGAAGUCAGGUCGGAUUAAGCCAUAGUACGGAAAAAACUAUGCUACCUGUGAGCCCCGUCCAAGGACGUAAAAAGAAGUCAGGCCACUACAAGUGCCAUAGCUUGAGUAAACUAUGCAGCCUGUAGCUCCACCUGAG